rnacentral:ribozyme from 1 species
GAAAAAUUCUGUUCUGUAAAAGAGUUGGAUCCGAUGCCCCUAGAAGGCUACUAUAGGCUCUCCUUCUCUACUCCUACACAAUACAUCCACGACGUGCAGAACGGCAACUUGUCGCC